GGGCCGUGGACAGGGACGUCACUGGAACGAGCCAACGGUCGAGACUACCAAGAAAAAAGAGAGAGUGCUGACUCACUGCACUCACGGUCACGGACUAGUUUGGGGAAUAGCAAGUUGCCCAGAGCACUGUGGCUACAAGCCAGCAAAGAAGUGCUGCUGUGAGGCGUAACCGUCUGACAUCUGGGGCCACGGACCAAGAAAUAGAUUCCACCAUCAAAAGAUGGCUUCAUCUGGCUCCGGAUAGGGAUGGUGGCAGGAGGGAGAGGAUGAGGAGAAAAGAGCGUGAAGAGAGCAGGACAGCAGUAAACAAUUUAAUGAACUGAAACAUGGCAUAGACAUGUGUGCAGAGUACAACGGGUUCAUGUACUGAAACAUAGCAUGGAUGUUCAGAAGUUGUUUUUUGUCAAGUGUUUCACAAGUUUACAAGUGCAAAACCGAACUGAAUUUCAGCUGGAACAGCGGGAGGCCAGGACUGUGUUUGUUAUCCUGGACGAAAGUUGUGUGCAGAGUACAAUGGGUUCAUGGACUGAAACAUAGCAUGGAUGUUCAAAAGUUGUGUGUGUUUUACAAGUGCAAAAUCUAACUGAAUUUCAGCUGGAACAGCAGGAGGCUGGAUCCGUGUUUGCUAACCUGGACUGGGCUAAAACACUUAACCUGGUCUGGAUGUUGUGGGAAAUAAAUACCAUAAUUUCUGUGCCGGAGAGAUCCUCACGCCAAACUAUGUUCAAAAAUCUUUUAUGUACAAGUGUUUUGUACAAGAAUUUCCUAUUUGUCUGUACAUUUUUACAAAUGCACUGCUGACGUGGGGGGGUUGAGGUGAGAGGAGAUAAGUGGAGGAGGGGACUGGAAAAAAGAGAGGAAGAGAUUGUCUGGCAAAUAAAAUUUACAGUUUUGAAAAUGGCUUGAUGUGGAAAAAUCAAUAAAUAUUUUUCAUAAAACGUC